rnacentral:lncRNA from 1 species
GUUGUUAGUAUGGUAGUUACUGCUUGUUAUUAUUGCAUGCGACUGUAUUUAUGUUUCUUAUGUUUACAUAAUUAUAUACGUUAUCUCUGCGGGAUUACUUAUGCUGUAUUAUUUUGUUUUGUCUUGCUUUGGUACCUAAUUUUGUCUUUGUUCCAAUGCAGCUUUUCAUUCUAUCCUAUGCGCCGAGGGUCGAUUGGAAGCAGCCUCCCUGCCCUUUCGGGUAGGGGUAAGGUUGUCUACAUAUUACCCUCCCCAGACCCCACCUGGUGGGAGUAUACUGGGUAGUUGUUGUUGUUGUUG